GUACUGCUGAAGAGUCCCAAACUAGGACGAAACAGCUAUCGAGUAC
rnacentral:hammerhead_ribozyme from 1 species